CCUACGGGGGGCUGCAGUGGGGAAUAUUGGACAAUGGGGGCAACCCUGAUCCAGCCAUGCCGCGUGUGUGAAGAAGGCCCUCGGGUUGUAAAGCACUUUCAGUGAGGAAGAACGCCUGGUGGUUAAUACCCAUCAGGAAAGACAUCACUCACAGAAGAAGCACCGGCUAACUCCGUGCCAGCAGCCGCGGUAAUACGGAGGGUGCGAGCGUUAAUCGGAAUUACUGGGCGUAAAGCGCGCGUAGGUGGCUUGAUAAGCCGGUUGUGAAAGCCCCGGGCUCAACCUGGGAACGGCAUCCGGAACUGUCAAGCUAGAGUGCAGGAGAGGAAGGUAGAAGUCCCGGUGUAGCGGUGAAAUGCGUAGAGAUCGGGAGGAAUACCAGUGGCGAAGGCGGCAUUCUGGACUGACACUGACACUGAGGUGCGAAAGCGUGGGUAGCAAACAGGAUUAGAUACCCUAGUAGUC
rnacentral:rRNA from 1 species